CAGUAACAUGCUACAGUGUACAACAGUACUACGUAGUAUUUCUGCUACAGUACUGCACAGUGUAUAUACUAUAGUAAUUAGCUACAGUACAGCUACAUUACUACUAUGAACAGUAAUGAACAGUAAUAUAAACAAGCUUAAAAUAUAAAGAAAGCUUAAAACAUAAUUAACAACAGUAAAAUGAAGAGAAAAUAGGCUUUAUUUAUAAAAGCACACUUACAUAAAAUCUGAUGAAAUUGAAAUACGCAUCGUACAAACUUUAUGUACACUAAUCAAGCUUAAACAAACUUAAAUACGAACCACAAGUACUAAUAUAUGCUAAUACAUAAGUAAACACACUAAUAAGCACGCUUAUUUACAAACUCACAUAGAUUAACGGAGCUAAAUGAUCGAGUUAUGUGGAGAUUUCUGUGGAGGAAGAGGAGAAGGGAAUAUUGUAAUGGGAAGGAAGGAGG
rnacentral:lncRNA from 1 species